rnacentral:rRNA from 1 species
UACGUAGGGGGCAAGCGUUGUCCGGAAUCAUUGGGCGUAAAGGGCGCGUAGGCGGCCCAGUAAGUCCGCUGUAAAAGUCAAAGGCUCAACCUUUGAAUGCCGGUGGAUACUGCUGGGCUAGAGUCCGGAAGAGGCGAGUGGAAUUCCUGGUGUAGCGGUGAAAUGCGCAGAUAUCAGGAGGAACACCAAUGGCGAAGGCAGCACUCUGGGACGUGACUGACGCUGAGACGCGAAAGCGUGGGGAGCAAACAGG